rnacentral:rRNA from 1 species
UARACAUAAAUAGUAUAAACACAUAUGCUAUUCGCCAGAGAACUACAAGCAUAAAGCUCAAAACUCCAAGGACUUGGCGGUGCUUCAAAUCAACCUAGAGGAGCCUGUCCUAUAAUCGAUACCCCACGUUUUACCUCACCACUCCUAGUAACCCAGCCUAUAUACCGCCGUCGCAAGCCUACCUUAUGAAAGAAGUAAAGUAAGCAAAAAAGUUAACAACAAACACGUCAGGUCAAGGUGUAGCACACGGAGCGGCAGAGAUGGGCUACAUUUUUUCAAAGACAAGAUACGGAUAGAAAAUUGAAACACACACUUGAAGGCGGAUUUAGUAGUAAAAUAAACAAGAAUAAUUAUUUUAAACCUGCUCUGAAGCGCGCACACACCGCCCGU